rnacentral:rRNA from 1 species
GUACCAGACUCCUACGGGAGGCAGCAGUGAGGAAUAUUGGUCAAUGGCCGAGAGGCUGAACCAGCCAAGUCGCGUGAAGGAUGACGGCCCUACGGGUUGUAAACUUCUUUUGUCAGGGAGCAAUUGAGUCCACGUGUGGGCUUAGCGAGAGUACCUGAAGAAAAAGCAUCGGCUAACUCCGUGCCAGCAGCCGCGGUAAUACGGAGGAUGCGAGCGUUAUCCGGAUUUAUUGGGUUUAAAGGGUGCGUAGGCGGAAUAUCAAGUCAGCGGUAAAAAUUCGGGGCUCAACCCCGUCGUGCCGUUGAAACUGGCGUUCUUGAGUGGGCGAGAAGUAUGCGGAAUGCGUGGUGUAGCGGUGAAAUGCAUAGAUAUCACGCAGAACUCCGAUUGCGAAGGCAGCAUACCGGCGCCCAACUGACGCUGAAGCACGAAAGCGUGGGUAUCGAACAGGAUUAGAUACCCCGGUA